AACUCGCUGUGAAGAUGCAGUGUACCCGCGGCAAGACGGAAAGACCCCGUGAACCUUUACUAUAGCUUGACACUGAACAUUGAGCCUUGAUGUGUAGGAUAGGUGGGAGGCUUUGAAGUGUGGACGCCAGUCUGCAUGGAGCCGACCUUGAAAUACCACCCUUUAAUGUUUGAUGUUCUAACGUGGACCCGUAAUCCGGGUUGCGGACAGUGUCUGGUGGGUAGUUUGACUGGGGCGGUCUCCUCCUAAAGAGUAACGGAGGAGCACGAAGGUUGGCUAAUCCUGGUCGGACAUCAGGAGGUUAGUGCAAUGGCAUAAGCCAGCUUGACUGCGAGCGUGACGGCGCGAGCAGGUGCGAAAGCAGGUCAUAGUGAUCCGGUGGUUCUGAAUGGAAGGGCCAUCGCUCAACGGAUAAAAGGUACUCCGGGGAUAACAGGCUGAUACCGCCCAAGAGUUCAUAUCGACGGCGGUGUUUGGCACCUCGAUGUCGGCUCAUCACAUCCUGGGGCUGAAGUAGGUCCCAAGGGUAUGGCUGUUCGCCAUUUAAAGUGGUACGCGAGCUGGGUUUAGAACGUCGUGAGACAGUUCGGUCCCUAUCUGCCGUGGGCGCUGGAGAACUGAGGGGGGCUGCUCCUAGUACGAGAGGACCGGAGUGGACGCAUCACUGGUGUUCGGGUUGUCAUGCCAAUGGCACUGCCCGGUAGCUAAAUGCGGAAGAGAUAAGUGCUGAAAGCAUCUAAGCACGAAACUUGCCCCGA
rnacentral:rRNA from 2 species